UUAACUGAAACCAAAANAGAGGUAUAUUACUGUUAAUAAUAAAACUGAAUAUUAUAUUCCAGUUAAG
rnacentral:tRNA from 1 species